rnacentral:tRNA from 1 species
AUUUAAAUAGUUUAAACAAAAACAUUACAUUUUCAUUGUAAAAAUAAUAGAAAUAUUUUUAAAUA